rnacentral:rRNA from 1 species
CCUACGGGGGGCAGCAGUGGGGGAUAUUGCACAAUGGGGGAAACCCUGAUGCAGCGACGCCGCGUGAGUGAAGAAGUAUUUCGGUAUGUAAAGCUCUAUCGGCAGGGAAGAAAAAAAUGACAGUACCUGACUAAGAAGCCCCGGCUAACUACGUGCCAGCAGCCGCGGUAAUACGUAGGGGGCAAGCGUUAUCCGGAUUUACUGGGUGUAAAGGGAGCGUAGGCGGCCAUGCAAGUCAGAAGUGAAAACCCGGGGCUCAACCCUGGGAGUGCUUUUGAAACUGUGCGGCUAGAGUGUCGGAGGGGUAAGUGGAAUUCCUAGUGUAGCGGUGAAAUGCGUAGAUAUUAGGAGGAACACCAGUGGCGAAGGCGGCUUACUGGACGAUGACUGACGCUGAGGCUCGAAAGCGUGGGGAGCAAACAGGAUUAGAUACCCGGG